rnacentral:tRNA from 1 species
UGUCGAGAUGGCCGAGUUAGUCUAAUGCGCCAGAUUAAGGUUCUAGUCCGAAAGGGCGUGGGUUCAAAUCCCACUCUCGACAAU